ACGGGUGAGUAAUACAUCGGAACGUGCCCUGUAGUGGGGGAUAACUAGUCGAAAGAUUAGCUAAUACCGCAUACGACCUGAGGGUGAAAGUGGGGGACCGCAAGGCCUCAUGCUAUAGGAGCGGCCGAUGUCUGAUUAGCUAGUUGGUGGGGUAAAGGCCCACCAAGGCGACGAUCAGUAGCUGGUCUGAGAGGACGAUCAGCCACACUGGGACUGAGACACGGCCCAGACUCCUACGGGAGGCAGCAGUGGGGAAUUUUGGACAAUGGGGGCAACCCUGAUCCAGCAAUGCCGCGUGUGUGAAGAAGGCCUUCGGGUUGUAAAGCACUUUUGUCCGGAAAGAAAUCGCACUUACUAAUAUUAGGUGUGGAUGACGGUACCGGAAGAAUAAGGACCGGCUAACUACGUGCCAGCAGCCGCGGUAAUACGUAGGGUCCAAGCGUUAAUCGGAAUUACUGGGCGUAAAGCGUGCGCAGCGGUUGUGCAAGACCGAUGUGAAAUCCCCGGGCUUAACCUGGGAAUUGCAUUGGUGACUGCACGGCUAGAGUGUGUCAGAGGGGGUAGAAUUUCC
rnacentral:rRNA from 1 species